UACGAAGGGGGCUAGCGUUGUUCGGAAUUACUGGGCGUAAAGCGCACGUAGGCGGAUCGAUCAGUCAGGGGUGAAAUCCCAGGGCUCAACCCUGGAACUGCCUUUGAUACUGUCGAUCUGGAGUAUGGAAGAGGUGAGUGGAAUUCCGAGUGUAGAGGUGAAAUUCGUAGAUAUUCGGAGGAACACCAGUGGCGAAGGCGGCUCACUGGUCCAUUACUGACGCUGAGGUGCGAAAGCGUGGGGGAGCAAACAGGG
rnacentral:rRNA from 1 species